GGCCUUGUGGCCUAAUGGAUAAGGCGUCGACCUCCGGAGCCGAAGAUUGUGGGUUCGAGUCCCGUCAAGGUCG
rnacentral:tRNA from 1 species